AAUAGUUUCUAUCUAGCUAUAAAUCACUUUUUAAUUUCAUAAUUGUUCAAUUUUUGAAAAAUCUUUCUAGUCGGCAUCACUGCCAAGUGCUGUCAACUGACCGAGAAAAAGAAUAAAACAAAAAACAAAUUUUUCGUGUUCCCCAAGUCCAACUCCCGCAUACCAGCAGCAACAAGUCCUCACCGAUUGUGGUCCGACGGACGGACAUAUUAUCAGGACAAACCGGAAGAAGAGCACCAGCGAUGUUCGUAACAGAAACAGGAGCUGGAGGAGCAAGGUCACGCUGGAAGGAGCAAUGUCCCGAACUCUUUUGGAUACAGCAGUGAGUAGCGGCUAAGCCAGCGUCCCGCCCGUGUUUCCGGAAUGAUACCUUCUGGCGGAGGAACUUUUGUUAUAUACAUCGUAGAAUUGAAUAAAAUGAACAUAUAAAAUUUAAAAA